GAUGUGAAAGCCCCCGGCUCAACCGGGGAGGGUCAUUGGAAACUGGGAGACUUGAGUGCAGAAGAGGAGAGUGGAAUUCCAUGUGUAGCGGUGAAAUGCGUAGAUAUAUGGAGGAACACCAGUGGCGAAGGCGGCUCUCUGGUCUGUAACUGACGCUGAGGCUCGAAAGCGUGGGGAGCAAACAGGAUUAGAUACC
rnacentral:rRNA from 1 species